rnacentral:rRNA from 1 species
UACGUAGGUGGCAAGCGUUGUCCGGAUUUAUUGGGUUUAAAGGGUGCGUAGGCGGCCCUGUACGUCAGUGCUGAAAUCUCCCAGCUUAACUGGGAGGGUGGCAUUGAUACUGCGGGGCUAGAGUACAGAUGAGGUAGGCGGAAUUGACGGUGUAGCGGUGAAAUGCUUAGAUAUCGUCAAGAACACCUAUAGCGAAGGCAGCUUACUGGGCUGUAACUGACGCUGAGGCACGAAAGUGUGGGGAGCAAACAGG